rnacentral:rRNA from 1 species
CAGAGACUGCAAGCGUUAUUCGGAUUCACUGGGCGUAAAGGGUGCGCAGGCGGCCAAGUGUGUGAGGCGUGAAAGCCCGGGGCUUAACCCCGGAAUUGCACCUCAAACUACAUGGCUAGAGCAUUGGAGGGGGUAGCAGAAUUCAUGGUGUAGCAGUGAAAUGCGUAGAUAUCAUGAGGAAUACCAGAGGCGAAGGCGGCUACCUGGACAAUUGCUGACGCUCAGGCACGAAAGCGUGGGGAGCAAAAGGGAUUAGAUACCCCUGUAGUCCACGCCCUAAACGGUGCACACUAGGUCUUGGCGGAUUCGACCCCGCCAGGGCCCAAGCUAACGCGUUAAGUGUGCCGCCUGAGGACUACGGCCGCAAGGCUA